CAACGCUGCCAAAAAUAAAUAAAUAAAAAAAUUUAAAAAUUUAGAUUAAAGAAAAAAUUGUAAGAAGUAAAACAAGGCACGUCUGCAGCUCAGGGUUGGCCUGAGUGGACUUCAGCACAGAUUCAGCCCUGUCUGCCCAUGAUCUUAUGAAAACUCCACUUAAGCCUGCUGUGAGCAGACCCCCUGGACGCUCUUCUUUGCAUGUGCCUGAGCCCCAGAGAUCCCUCUGUGUUACUGGCCAGCUGGGGGCUCCUCAGGGCGGGACCCUGCCUGGCCCACCUCCCUCACCUGCUUCUCCCUGAGGAGCAAGGGCUGCCCAAAGAUUCUUUACCAAACUGAUCCUGCAGCCAGUCUGGAAGGAGAUGGAGAGGGAGGCGGGGGUCUCUGCGCCUCUCAGCACCAGGUCCCAGGCCAACCGCGCGGUGCUCUCUUCCCGCUUUGAGUUUGGCCCCAGACUUGGGAGCCGACUUUCUCAAAAGCCCCUCCCACCCCUUGAACCUAGAGGUCAGGGUGGGAAGAGCAGCGCAACAGCCUGGCUUCCAAGGCAGCUUCCGGCAGCAUCCGCCCCGGCGCUGAGAUUCCCAACCUCAGCCCUGAAAAUCUGCACCUAGUUCCUGGCCCCUUUCCGGACGGCUUAUGCGCUAACCAGCAACGUGCGUUUGUGCGCAAGCCCGCGCCCUGCUCUGGGGCUCCAGCGGUCAGCCCUGGACUCCUCCAGAUCCAGGUGUGACUUCCCAGGCGGACGGUUCCUGCGCACAGAGAGGGGCGUGUGACGGUAGUUCCUCGGGCUUCAGGCCUUGACUGAGAAGGGAAGGGGGUUUCUCUCUUCCCCUUUCCAGAAACAUAUACAACAGAAAUAGAAACCAACUGCUCCGCCCUCUAAUACUUGUCUGCUGCCAGCCCAUCAUCUCGCAGGACCACGGACACUGGAACACGAUGACCACGGUGACGCCGGCUCCUUUCCUAGUUCCCUAAGGAGCCUUGGGCCACGGCCUCUGCUGAUUGGUCACAAUCCAGAAGAGUGGUUCUUAACCUGGCUGCACACUCAGAUCACCUGGUGAGCUUUAAAAAACACCAGCGCCUUCUCCCAGGACAGUGAAAUCCAAAGUGCCAAAGAAGAACUCGGCCCACACCCUAGAAUGCAGGCCUCUGGAGAGAGGGAGGUGCUCUGAGAAGCAAGCUACAAUGCGGGCGGUCCUGGGGCACAGCCGCCUGGCUCCUCACCCAGGACACGGGGAAGGCGUGGUGGGUUGUACUGGGAAGAAGGAGAGGCGGUUUGCUCACCUAAGGGUGCCACAGCCCCGAAAGGAGCGCCUUCCAGAACAAAGGUAAAGUCACUAGGACAGGUCUGGUAGGAUUUUCCUUUUCCUUUCCCUCUUGUACGUGGAUGCUGAUCUAAUAGGGGAGUUUCCAAGUGUGGAGCAGAGAAAAAAAAGAAAAAUCAGAGUUUUGUAUUUCUGAAACAGCCGUUUCUCCACUGCACACACCAUGGUAUUAUGCAAAUCAACCUCUUGGAAAAAUUUAGAUACAGAAGGGAACUAGACAGUUUUCCCCCUGGAGAGAUGAAAAGCUUUUUGGCUCCUAAGUCUUUGAUUAAAAGGCGUACAUGAUUCUCGUGUUUACUGUACAGAAUACUGCCUCCGGCUGGAUUUCUGCAAUCUGAGUGGCUGAACACUCUGCGAUCCAGACAGGCUUCAACCCUCCAUCUCUACGCCUGCAUCACAGGACUUAAACACGUAAUCCAAGAAUUUCUUACACUAAUUUAUACACUUUUAAUUGGUUGCAUAUAUUAACAUGUACUAUAAGAUUCUUUUCUAAGAAGCAUUACAUAAUAAAUGGAUACUGUAAAAAGGUCUGAUUAGUUAAAAGUAACAAGCAUUAACAGAUACAUACAAAACUCAGCCUUAUCAGACUGGGUGUGAGCCUGUAAUGAAGCGCAGGGCACCCGCCUUCCCAAGUGGUAGCCUUCACGGGGGUGGGGGGGU